GAUGAACGCUGACAGAAUGCUUAACACAUGCCAGUCUUUGGCGAAUCUGUGCUUGCACAGGCUAGCCAAGGCGGACGGGUGAGUAACGCGUAAAGAACUUGCCCUGCAGACAGGGAUAACAGACGGAAACGACUGAUAACACCUGAUACAGUUGCCGGCACGCAUGUGCCUGGCAAUGAAAAGAGAUGCUGCAGGAGAGCUUUGCGUCCUAUUAGCUUGUUAGUGAGGUGACGGCUCACCAAGGCGAUGAUAGGUAGCCGGCCUGAGAGGGUGAACGGCCACAAGGGGACUGAGAUACGGCCCUUACUCCUACGGGAGGCAGCAGUGGGGAAUAUUGGACAAUGGGGGCAACCCUGAUCCAGCAAUUCUGUGUGCACGAAGAAGGUUUUCGGAUUGUAAAGUGCUUUCAGCAGGGAAGAAGGAAGUGACGGUACCUGCAGAAGAAGCGACGGCUAAAUACGUG
rnacentral:rRNA from 1 species